rnacentral:pre_miRNA from 7 species
UUUCCAGUUCACUCACUCAAGCUGAAAGACCCCCGAAGGGAGACCCUUACUCAGACACUCAAGUCCCGGGACAGCCGCGGACCCAAGAAGACACUGAGACCA